CGGACGGGUGAGUAAUGUCUGGGAAACUGCCUGAUGGAGGGGGAUAACUACUGGAAACGGUAGCUAAUACCGCAUAACGUCGCAAGACCAAAGAGGGGGACCUUCGGGCCUCUCGCCAUCGGAUGUGCCCAGAUGGGAUUAGCUAGUAGGUGGGGUAACGGCUCACCUAGGCGACGAUCCCUAGCUGGUCUGAGAGGAUGGCCAGCCACACUGGAACUGAGACACGGUCCAG
rnacentral:rRNA from 1 species